CAAACUCUGUAACCACAGAGUAGUAAUAAAGCAGGUAUGUUUAAUCAGCGCUGCACACACACCACAUCUCCCCCAGUGCCCCCCACCUACCCUGCAUACUGGAGGGCAAGAAAGGCACAUACUUAAAGAAGCUGCUGCUUACACAUGCAUUAGAUUUCCAAGAAAACGUUGGGUUAGUACAGCGAGUCCCCAAAAUGAUUGACAUUUAUCCCUGCCCCAAGUCUCAGCUCUAUGACACAUGCGUAUCUUUUGGUGGUUCUUUGGUGGACUGUUGGAUGAAGGCUGAGGUCUUAUUUUCCUUUGACAUGGGUGAGGUUGGAGACUCUUGGCUGGCUCUGGUUGGCCAUCUUAUUGUCUACAACAAGUAAACAAGUGUGAGAAAAACCCGGGGUAAAGUGUGAGUAAAAUCCGGAGUAAGGUGUAUCUAAACCCAGAGUGAAGUGUGUGUAAAUCUGGAAUAAAGUGUGUGUAUAACCUGAGUAAAGGUUGAGUAAACCUGGAGUAAAGGGUGAGUAAAACUAGAGAAAAAUGUGGGUAAAACCCGGAGUAAGGUGUGACUAAACCCAGAGUAAAUUGUGUGUAAACCUGGAAUAAAGUGUGUGUAAAACUUGAGUAAAGGUUGAGUAAACCUGGAGUAAAGGGUGAGUAAAACUAGAAAAAAGUGUGAGUAGACCCAAAGUAAAGGGUGUGUAAGCCCGGAGUAAAUAGCGAGUAAAGCUGGUGUAAAUUGUGAUAAACCCAAAGUAAACGUGAGGGUAAAACCUGGAGCAUAUUGUUAGGAACCCCGGAGUAAAUUGUGAGUUAAUCCCUGAGUAAAGUGACAGUAAAACCAGAGAAAAGUAUGAAUGAACCUGGAUUGAAAUGUGUGUAAACCUGGAGUAAAGGGAUAGUAAAGCUAGAGUAAAGUGUGAGUAAUACCCAGAGUAAGGUGUGACUAAACCCAAAGAAAAUUGUGAGAAAACCCAGAGUAAAGCGUGCGUAACCAUAAAGUAAAGAGUGGGUAAACCUGGAGUAAAGAGUGAACAAAGCUUGUAGAAAGCUGUGAGGAACCAUGGAAUAAAAUAUGUGUAAACCAUGGUGUAGAAUGUGAGCAAAACCUGAUGUAAAAUGUGAGUAAAGCUAGAGAAAACUGUGAGUAAACCCAAAGUAAAGGGUGUGUAAGCCCGGAAUAAAUAAUGAGGAAACCUGGUGUAAAUUGUGAGUAAACCCAAAGUAACCUUGAAGGUAAAACCUAAAGCAUAUUGUUAGGAACCCCGGAGUAAAUUGUGAGUAAAGCCCUGAGUAAAGUGACAGUAAACCCAGAGAAAAUUGUGAGUAAACCUUUGCUACUGCAAAGCCCGUGGGCCCUCGGUGCGCAGGGACACUGCUCUCCCCCCAUCCACCCAGCCUGUGAUGCAAUCAUAGAAGGCUACCAGGUUGCUCAAGCACUAUUACCUCUUGGUGAACCCAUGCUGACUCCUCCUCCUAUCCUUCUUCUCUCCCAAUUGCUUGGAGAUGGCAUCCACAACAGGCUGUUCCAUCACCUUCCUAGGGACAGAGCUGA
ensembl:lncRNA